rnacentral:rRNA from 1 species
CACCGCGGUUAUACGAGUUGGCCCCAAGUUGACAGACAACGGCGUAAAGAGUGGUUAAGGAAAAUAAAAACUAAAGCCGAACACCUUCAAAGCUGUCAUACGCUCCCGAAGAUAUGAAGCCCAACCACGAAAGUGACUUUACAUAACCUGAACCCACGAAAGCUAAGAAACAAACUGGGAUUAGAUACCCCACUAUGCUUAGCCCUAAACAUUGAUUAUACAUUACACCAAACAUCCGCCCGGGUAUUACGAACAUCAGUUUAAAACCCCAAGGACUUGGCGGUGCUUAACAUCCACCUAGAGGAGCCUGUUCUAGAACCGAUAAUCCCCGUUCAACCUCACCCUCCCUUGUUCCUUCCCGCCUGUAUACCUCCGUCGUCAGCUUACCCUGUGAAGGCCUAAUAGUAAGCAAGAUUGGCACAUCCCCUAAUACGUCAGGUCAAGGUGCAGCGCAUGAGAGGGGAAGAAAUGGGCUACAUUCGCUAAGAUAGCGAACACGAAUGAUGCAUUGAAACAUACAACUGAAGGAGGAUUUAGCAGUAAGAAGGAAGUAGAGUGUCCUACUGAAACCGGCUCUAAAGCGCGCACACACCGCCCGUCACCCUCCCCUAAAACCUUAAAUUUAAUAACUAAAACAACACACCCUAUAAAGGAGAGGAAAGUCGUAACAUGGUAAGCG